UUCUUUGGAUUUAUUAAAAAGCAGAACUAUGAUUGAAACUAAAUAAUGCAAAGAUGGAGAAUGUAAGCUAAAUAUGACUGUCAAUAUCAUUGUAAACUUUUUAGUUCUAUUCACUUAGAUGUAUAGAUGUUUUCAUUCUUUUACUUAAACAACUGGAUUGGCCUGUUGGAAAACGUGAAGUCUUUAGGAAAAGAACACUUACACUUCAUUUACUUUGUAUUUAGUAAACUUAUUACAGCAAGGUAAGCGUACCAUAAAUGCUUUCAGAUGCAAAAUUACAGAUUUCAGGAAUAUUUAAAUAAUACUAAACCUUAAGUGUUCAUUAAUCUGAAAUACUUGAGUGAUUAUGUAUUUACAAUUCCCUCAAAACCUUUUUUUUUUCCUGCUGAUAAAAUAUAAGAAGUGUUUUGCAUAAGAAAAUGGUGCAUAACAAAUUAAAUGUAGGUGACCAGCUGCAAGGCACUGGUUGGAAGUAGUGAGGAGCUGAACAGUUUUUAAGUAAAUACGGAAUUAGAUUGCAUAAUCCCCCUGAUGCUUAAGUGCCAUUAAUAAACUAAAUGCACUUGUAAAAGCAAGAAUGUUGCAAAGCAAGAGGUCAGUCUGGAUUUAAAAAAAAUCAUUGGAUUUUUGACUGGUUUGUGUAUAUAAAAUCAAAGGAACUGGAUGUUAUUUUUAAGUAGAGAAAUAAAAACGUGUGUAAAUGAAAAUUGGGAAGAGGGGAAUGGAGAAAAAGAAGCUAAUGCUACUUGAUCUGAUACCAAACCAUCUGGCAAUAUGCUGCCAAGUCAUUAUGUAUCAUUUAUAUGACUCAGUGCUAAUUAGAUGUGUGCAGAUUAUGCAGACUCCUUGUGCUUUCAAGGUUGGUAGAAUGUUUAAAAAAAUAAUACUUGCAAUAUUAGCAUGACAUGUACUUGUUAAGAAUUUCUGACUAUAAUCCAGGCCAUUUUUUCACUGGAAAAUAUCCCAAGCACUGCAAAGACUUAAUUUGACUUACUAAAAAAGAAAAAAACAACCCCCCACCAAUAUUAAUACCGGUUAUCUUCUUUAUAGACACUAAGAAAUUAAUUUCUUUUUCACUAACUUGCUGAAAAUAUAUUUACUAAGCAGUUAGGUCUGAACAGCACAAAAAUGUAACUGAUUAGAUAGAUAUGCAUACACUAUAGGUUACAGUAAGCAUGCUUUAAGAGAGCAUGUAAUAAAACAUCUUUUAAAAGACUGUGUUUGUGGUACUGGGCCCUUGCACAUACAAAUCCAACACUUGCAUGUUGUUUUUUCUCUUGAAAGAAAUAUGUGUAAUUUCUCUGCUUGAAUUGUCACAUCAACAGCUGCCACAAAUGGAGUACUAGGAAAGUUUCCUUUGAGCAUUUGCAGCAUGUCUAUAGCUAGAAUAUAGCACAGCUAUAGUUAGAAUAAAUUGACUAUUGUAAACAUAUGACAAGCUUAAGCAUGCUGCCACAGAAGUCUGUCAAUAAAAUGUAUUUUUAGAAUUUCAAACUUCAAGAUGUCUUCAUAUGAAAGCUGCAAAAAUCUGUUUGACAGACUAUAUGGAUAUUCUAUUCAUAUAAUUUGCAUAUAUGGAAAAUAAAAGAUCAACAGGCUGACCUCUUGAGCUCCAGCUCCUUUUCCUCAAGGAAUGUCUCAAAGGUGGUACGUACAAAACUAUGAAAAUUAUUCUUUUGAGGAAAAAAGAUAUUCCACUACAAGGGUAUAGAUCUUAAGACUACAUUUUGUGAUGUCGAUACUUGUGCAAAUAUAAGUGUGACUUGUUAUGUCUUUCUUGUAUUGCUCUGUGUGGUUUCUUGUAUUUAUAUUUAUAAAUGAUUUGGAAGAGUUGAAGUUAACUCUUAAGAGCUGGCAUCAUGCUUUAUGGUGCUCAGCAAAGUGGUGUAAGUAAUCCAUUGUUCAGAUUUACUUAAAGACUUAAAAUUACUUAUACAAGAAAAGGGUGUAUGCUUAUAACAGCAUUAUUUUUUAUUUUAGUAAUAUAAUAUUCUUCUAGUAGACAGAUGAGAGCAAAGUUCAGAACAAAACUGAGAUGUACGUUUUUAACAGUGACUGUCAUUAAUGAGCUUCUGGUAAACUUUUCCAAUAUGAUAAACUUAUUUGAAUUCUUUAUAG